rnacentral:rRNA from 1 species
CCGGUGAUAAAAUUUAACGGCCGCGGUACCCUAACCGUGCGAAGGUAGCAUAAUCACUUGUUCUUUAAAUGAGGACUAGUAUCAACGGCAUCACGAGGAUCCUACUGUCUCCCCCCUCCAGUCAGUGAAACUGAUCUCUCCGUGAAGAAGCGGAGAUACGCAUAUAAGACGAGAAGACCCCAUGGAGCUUUAAACCCAACAACACCCGCCUCCCUUAAACCCUAUUAUCAGCCCGGCGAUUGUUUGCUUGGUUUUAGGUUGGGGUGACCACGGAGUACAAAACAUCCUCCAUGAAAAAAAGCUAACUGCCCUUAUUAGAGAAAGACAUUUCCAAAAAAUAACAAAUUAAUUUUUAAUGACCCGAUAUUCGAUCAACGAACCAAGUUACCCUGGGGAUAACAGCGCAAUCCGCCCCGAGAGCCCCUAUCGACAGGCGGGUUUACGACCUCGAUGUUGGAUCAGGGUAUCCUAGUGGUGCAGCAGCUACUAACGGUUCGUUUGUUCAACGAUUAAAACCCU